GACGAACGCUGGCGGCGUGCUUAACACAUGCAAGUCGAACGGAAAGGCCCUGCUUGCAGGGUACUCGAGUGGCGAACGGGUGAGUAACACGUGGGUGAUCUGCCCUGCACUUCGGGAUAAGCUUGGGAAACUGGGUCUAAUACCGGAUAGGAACCAUCUUUAGUGUGGUGGUUGGAAAGUUUUUUCGGUGUAGGAUGAGCUCGCGGCCUAUCAGCUUGUUGGUGGGGUAAUGGCCUACCAAGGCGGCGACGGGUAGCCGGCCUGAGAGGGUGUACGGCCACAUUGGGACUGAGAUACAGCCCGGACUCCUACGGGAGGCAGCAGUGGGGAAUAUUGCACAAUGGGCGCAAGCCUGAUGCAGCGACGCCGCGUGGGGGAUGAAGGCCUUCGGGUUGUAAACUCCUUUCGCUAGGGACGAAGCUUUGUUGUGACGGUACCUAGAUAAGAAGCACCGGCUAACUACGUG
rnacentral:rRNA from 1 species